rnacentral:rRNA from 1 species
AUUGAACGCUGGCGGCAUGCCUUACACAUGCAAGUCGAACGGCAGCGGGGGAGAAGCUUGCUUUUCCUGCCGGCGAGUGGCGAACGGGUGAGUAAUACAUCGGAACGUGCCCUGUAGUGGGGGAUAACUAGUCGAAAGAUUAGCUAAUACCGCAUACGACCUGAGGGUGAAAGUGGGGGACCGCAAGGCCUCAUGCUAUAGGAGCGGCCGAUGUCUGAUUAGCUAGUUGGUGGGGUAAAGGCCUACCAAGGCGACUAUCAGUAGCUGGUCUGAGAGGACGAUCAGCCACACUGGGACUGAGACACGGCCCAGACUCCUACGGGAGGCAGCAGUGGGGAAUUUUGGACAAUGGGCGAAAGCCUGAUCCAGCAAUGCCGCGUGUGUGAAGAAGGCCUUCGGGUUGUAAAGCACUUUUGUCCGGAAAGAAAUGGCUCUGGUUAAUACCUGGGGUCGAUGACGGUACCGGAAGAAUAAGGACCGGCUAACUACAUGCCAGCCGCCGCUGUAA